UGAGGAAUAUUGGGCAAUGCCCGAAAGGGUGACCCAGCAACGCCGCGUGGAGGAUGAAGGUCGUAAGAUUGUAAACUCCUGUUAGAGGGGAAAAAUAACUAAGUUUGGAGCUUAGUAUGACUGUACCCUCAGAGAGAGCCCCGGCUAACUACGUGCCAGCAGCCGCGGUAAUACGUAGGGGGCAAGCGUUGUCCGGAUUUACUGGGUGUAAAGGGCGCGCAGGCGGAAUGGAAAGUCAGUGGUGAAAUCCUACAGCUUAACUGUAGAACUGCCUUUGAUACUUUCAUUCUUGAGUUCGGGAGAGAGAGACGGAAUUCCAGGUGUAGUGGUGAAAUACGUAGAUAUCUGGAAGAACACCAGUUGCGAAGGCGGUCUCUUGGUCCGAUACUGACGCUGAGGCGCGAAAGCGUGGGGAGCAAACA
rnacentral:rRNA from 1 species